CCCAAAACCCCGGAAUGCUACAUGGUUCCCCCUUAUCCUCUCAUUUCCCAAUAUAAAAAGAAGACAGAGUGACACUUUGAGCUUGAGCUUGUGAUUGCAAAUGUACUUUUGUCAUUUGGAGGGCAAAGCUAUUGCCCACGAUUGCCCUUCCAGAGCACUGGACCAGGAGGAGCUGCUGGUUGAAGGAACCAUGUGCACGCUGCUGACUGGACAGAUAAAUCCUGGGUGUGUGAAGAGGAAACCAGCAUCAACAUUAUGCUGACAUGUACCCUGAAGGAUGGAUUCAGAACUUUCCAGAACCUCACAGGAAGGCAACAAGGGACGUCAGAAGAGUCACUGGGAUCCCCGGUUGGACGAAGCUGCUGGUGCAGAGGGGAGGAUGGCAUCACUGGUUCCAAGUCUGGGAAUGGUCAUCACGGAGACAGCAAGUCUCGCGAGAACAACGCCUGAGACCAGUGGCUGCUGCUCCGGCUCUUGGCCCAUCUCCCUCCCUAUGGCCCUUUGGUGAACUCUCUGGGGCUCUGGAGCCAGGGAAGCUUGGACUGCAAACUCCAGCCCUGGCCCAGGCAAAGGGGGCCACAGCGUGCUGAUGCUCUCAAAGUUAAGUGUUCCGAUCUGGAGGCAGUAGUGAGGAGUUUUAUAGUAAAGAUUGAAAGAGGAGGGUGUGAUCAGCUCAUGGACAUUCUUCGGAUUGGUUGGUGGUGAGGUAAGUGAGAGUCCUCAUCAUCAACCUUCGGGUUCCAACCUGUCUUGGGGGGGUGUCUAUAUGCUUGUGGGCAGCAUAUAGUUAACUUCACCUGGUCAACCACUAAAUUCUAUAGACUCCACUCUCUAAAGGCCACACACCCAGCUGCCCUCUCCAUUCCCACCUCCAUGAACUUAUUCCAG
rnacentral:lncRNA from 1 species